UUGGAGAUGUAUACAGUUGACGUAAGAAAAAUCAAAAUGUCUGUGUUUGCAGCCAGCACUUUCAGACAGAGGAUUUCGAAACGGAACUGAAUCAACUGAUGGGGUUGCAAUGUCGUUGAGCUUUGAAAAGUGAUGAUAUUCCAUUGAAAUUCCCCUUCACCUCAAAGCGGAAGGCACCCGAUCCGCGCAGCAGAAAAUAAGUUAAGCUGAGAGUAUGAUCCCAUCAACAUCUGCAGCGGCAUCAAGCUCAGCACCAAGAACCUAAAAUCUACUAAAUCUUUCCAUGACUCCAUGAUGAGCAAAUAAAUAAACUGGAGCUAGGAACAAACAUGGUCCGUGUCUUGUUGUCAUAGUUGGUGUGUUUACAAGUAGGCUACAACUUCUACUGUAGCUUUCUCUGUAUUAUGGAGGCUUAGUUGAUUGUUCAUGCAAGGCUUGAAGUCUAAAUUGGGAAAAAUAGGUAUUAGUAAGGAGGGGAUGGUGUGGGUGACUGACUUGUGUCUGUUGGAGGUGGGUAUUGUGUGAAGGUUAGUAUGCAUGAUCUAUUGACAUGAAUGGGGUGGGUGGAUAUAGUAUCUUGUUUGAGUGUGUAUUGAUGGGGACAAAGUAGUAAAAUGUUGCUUAAUCACUGACUUCUGUGUGUCCUACACACUAAUCCUGCUGCUGCUGCUGAUGAUGGCUUUGACACCGGCUUUAGUAGUACAGCGCCUGUAGACCCAUUGGAUGAAAGCUUUCAGCCUGGAAUAAGCUCAAGCUCAACAUCAUCUGACUUUGAAACAAGCCAGGGCAGCCAAAGGAGACUUGCAGUACAAACAAAUCUUCUGCAAGAGGUCGAAGCAGUGGGGGGUGAAAAAGUGUACGAGAGGCCACAUGGCUGUGAAGUGCAGAAAAGAGCAGACGGUUGUCUACAAGGAGCCAGAGUCACAGCUCCACUAAACAUCUCUGCCAACAUCACCACAGCGCCAAAGCCUGCUAAACCAGCUAUCAUUACCCAACACAAGAAGAGGGUCACCAGCUGAAAAACAUUCAGGAACCUGCCUGGAACAUUCAACCAACACAACAUCCAUAUUUUGUAAUAUAAUAUGUAAAUGCCUAGUAUGCUCACAACUGCAUUGUGGUAUAUAUAUUGCUAGCUGUUGUACAUACAGUUGAAGUGGGAAGUUUACAUGAACUUAGGUUGGGAGUCAUUAAAAUUUGAUUUUCAACCACAAA